rnacentral:rRNA from 1 species
CAGGUCUUGACAUCCUCGGAAUUUGGCAGAGAUGCCUUAGUGCCUUCGGGAGCCGAGUGACAGGUGCUGCAUGGCCGUCGUCAGCUCGUGUCGUGAGAUGUUGGGUUAAGUCCCGUAACGAGCGCAACCCUUGUCCUUAGUUGCCAGCACUUCGGGUGGGAACUCUAGGGAGACUACCGGUGACAAACCGGAGGAAGGUGGGGACGACGUCAGGUCAUCAUGGCCCUUACGACCUGGGCUACACACGUGCUACAAUGGCUGGUACAGAGGGUUGCUAAGUCGCGAGGCGGAGCCAAUCCCUUAAAGCCAGUCGUAGUCCGGAUUGGAGUCUGCAACUCGACUCCAUGAAGCCGGAAUUGCUAGUAAUCGCGCAUCAGCACGGCGCGGUGAAUACGUUCCC